rnacentral:rRNA from 1 species
UACGUAGGGUGCGAGCGUUAAUCGGAAUUACUGGGCGUAAAGUGUGCGCAGGCGGCCGAGCAAGUCGAGUGUGAAAGCCCCGGGCUUAACUUGGGAAUUGCGCUCGAAACUACUUGGCUGGAGUGUGGCAGAGGAAGGUGGAAUUCCAGGUGUAGCGGUGAAAUGCGCAGAUAUCAGGAAGAACACCCGUGGCGAAGGCGGCUCUCUGGGACGGUACUGACGCUGAGACGCGAAAGCGUGGGGAGCGAACAGG